CAAGAUUUCAAUUGAGCAGGAGGUGACAUUGCCCACCACACCAAGGCGGAUCAUGCUAGGAAGAAGUUUGACAUCUUCCACCCAUUGGAUGGUCAGCAUUGAGGGGAAGGUCCUCUUUGAAGCUAACCAACUUAAUGCCAGUGCUUUUGUCGUCUUCUUUGGCUCCUUUUAUGCGUUCAAUCUUGAAUAUCAAGAGUCAGCAUCUACUACAUUGGAGUUGGUACAAGGAUCAACCCAGAUGAGGGCACCAAGUGCAUGG